AUUGAACGCUGGCGGCAGGCCUAACACAUGCAAGUCGAGCGAGCGGCGGACGGGUGAGUAAUGUCUGGGAAACUGCCUGAUGGAGGGGGAUAACUACUGGAAAAGGUAGCUAAUACCCCAUACCAUCAGAUGUGCCCAGAUGGGAUUAGCUGGUCGGUGGGGUAACGGCUAACCUCGGCGACGAUCCCUCGCUGGUCGGAGAGGAUGACCAGCCACACUGGACCUGAGACACGUUCCAGACUCCUACGGGAGGCAGCAGUGGGGAAUAUUGCACAAUGGGCGCAAGCCUGAUGCAGCCAUGCCGCGUGGGUGAAGAAGGCCUUCGGGUUGUAAAGCACUUUCAGCGGGGAGGCGUUACCCGCAGAAGAAGCACCGGCUAACUCCGUGCCAGCAGCCGCGGUAAUAC
rnacentral:rRNA from 1 species